GAUGAACGCUAGCGGCAGGCCUAAUACAUGCAAGUCGAGGGAGAAUGUUGGAUUCGUCUGACAUGAAACCGGCGCACGGGUGCGUAACACGUAUGCAACCUACCUUUAACUGGGGUAUAGCUCAGAGAAAUCUGAAUUAAUCCCCCAUAAGACUACGACAUGGCAUCAUGAUGUAGUUAAAGCUCCGGCGGUUAAGGAUGGGCAUGCGGUACAUUAGCUAGUUGGUGAGGUAAUGGCUCACCAAGGCUACGAUGUAUAGGGGGUCUGAGAGGAUGAUCCCCCACACUGGUACUGAGACACGGACCAGACUCCUACGGGAGGCAGCAGUAGGGAAUAUUGGUCAAUGGACGCAAGUUUGAACCAGCCAUGCCGCGUGAAGGAUGAAGGCCCUAUGGGUCGUAAACUUCUUUUAUUUGGGAAUAAACCUCUUUACGUGUAGAGAGCUGAAGGUACCAAAUGAAUAAGCACCGGCUAACUCCGUGCCAGCAGCCGCCGUAA
rnacentral:rRNA from 1 species